UACGUAGGCAGCAAGCGUUGUUCGGAAUUACUGGGCGUAAAGAGUGUGUAGGCGGUGCUCUAAGUUUGGUGUGAAAUCUCCCGGCUCAACUGGGAGGGUGCAUCGAAAACUGGAGUGCUCGAGGGUGGGAGAGGUAAGCGGAAUUCCUGGUGUAGCGGUGAAAUGCGUAGAUAUCAGGAGGAACACCUGUGGUGUAGACAGCUUACUGGACCACUUCUGACGCUGAGGCACGAAAGCGUGGGUAGCAAACAGG
rnacentral:rRNA from 1 species